AGAGUUUGAUCCUGGCUCAGGAUGAACGCUAGCGGCAGGCCUAACACAUGCAAGUCGAGGGAGAAGCCCUUCGGGGCAGAAACCGGCGCACGGGUGCGUAACGCGUAUGCAACCUACCUUUCACAGGGGGAUAGCCCGAAGAAAUUUGGAUUAAUACCCCAUAAUAUUAUUGGAUGGCAUCAUUUGAUAAUUAAAAUUACGAUGGUGAAAGAUGGGCAUGCGUCCUAUUAGCUAGUUGGAGUGGUAACGGCACCCCAAGGCUACGAUAGGUAGGGGUCCUGAGAGGGAGAUCCCCCACACUGGUACUGAGACAGGGACCAGACUCCUACGGGAGGCAGCAGUGAGGAAUAUUGGUCAAUGGUCGGAAGACUGAACCAGCCAUGCCGCGUGCAGGAAGAAUGCCUUAUGGGUUGUAAACUGCUUUUAUAUGGGAAGAAUAAGGUGUACGUGUACAUUGAUGACGGUACCAUAUGAAUAAGCAUCGGCUAACUCCGUGCCAGCAGCCGCGGUAAUACGGAGGAUGCGAGCGUUAUUCGGAAUCAUUGGGUUUAAAGGGUCUGUAGGCGGGCUAUUAAGUCAGGGGUGAAAGGUUUCAGCUUAACUGAGAAAUUGCCUUUGAUACUGGUAGUCUUGAAUAUCUGUGAAGUUCUUGGAAUGUGUAGUGUAGCGGUGAAAUGCUUAGAUAUUACACAGAACACCGAUUGCGGAGGCAGGGGACUAACAGACGAUUGACGCUGAGAGACGAAAGCGUGGGGAGCGAACAGGAUUAGAUACCCUGGUAGUCCACGCUGUAAACGUUGGGCACUAGGUGUGGGGGGCCUUUUCCGGGUUUUCCGCGCCGUAGCUAACGCAUUAAGUGCCCCGCCUGGGGAGUACGGCCGCA
rnacentral:rRNA from 1 species